CCUCCCACACCAUGGAGACCAUUCUCCAUCACUGCAAGUCCUUUGUGUUUGUAUUCAUAUUAAAUGUGAACUAACAAUGAAAUAAGGGAUGGAGAUGAAUCUGCAGGAUCAAGAAGGUACUGUGCCUACUUGUUCCGGGUUGGAAAAAGGAGGAUCAGUUGAAAGCAGAACAGAUUACAGAUUCACCAGACCUUCCAAAUUGCUUUGCCGAGUGUUUCUAACACAGAGAUGAGACGGAAGGAUCCUCUGGGUUCGGGGUAAUAAACAGUCUCCAAUUUCUCAUCUGCAGACUAGACAGAGGUGACUUGGACGUGUUGCCGUGGUGAUGGUUACAGGAACUCUGGCACAUGCACACGUUUCCUGACACUGUCCACAUCUGAGAUGUCACUCUCAGGGAAGCAAUCUCCACACACGAUUUGUAUUCGAUAU